UACGGAGGGUGCAAGCGUUAUCCGGAUUCACUGGGUUUAAAGGGUGCGUAGGUGGCUUUGUAAGUCAGUGGUGAAAUCUUAGAGCUUAACUCCAAAACUGCCAUUGAUACUGCUUAGCUUGAAUCAAGUAGAGGUGGAUGGAAUAAUACAUGUAGCGGUGAAAUGCUUAGAUAUGUAUUAGAACACCGAUUGCGAAGGCAGUUCACUAUGCUUGUAUUGACACUGAGGCACGAAAGCGUGGGGAUCAAACAGG
rnacentral:rRNA from 1 species